GUCCUCCCAAGUAUCUAUUUCUGUCUCUUUUUUUUCUUUCAUCCUCACUCCCCUUUUCAGGUGCAGUUCACCUUGGUCGGCUGCUUCCAGCAGGUGGUGCCCAAACAGGGACCUGAAAAACAGGGAAGUGAAGGACACCUCUGAAGAAACUAGGUGCUGUUUGCCUUGGUCAGCUGGUUCUGGCACUGGAUAAAACAUCAGAAGAUUUCCUGGCCCCUCGAUGGAAAAGACCAUACACCGUGAUCCUGACAACGCCCAUGGCUUUAAAAGUGGAUGGACAGUGCUCUUGGAUACAUCAUUCACACCUCAAUCCUGCCCAGAAUGACCAGAAGAGAUGGACAGUCCAACCCUAUCCAGAAUACCCCCUAAAACUUUGACUGGUAGAAAACAGCCCACCUACUACUCCCCCACUGUAAUUAAGACUUUACUCUUCUUAACUCCACCCCUUGGGACUAAUCCCCAGGGAGUUUACCAACCCCACACUUACGUCUGGAGAUUAUCUGAUUCACAAACAGGAAAAACUGUUAUGGAAGUUACACCUCCCUGAUUUAAAACUGAUCUGUGUUCCUUAUGGCUGAUGCUGGGCUCCCUAAAACAAUUGGUAGCCCGCAGUAUCUUUGGGGAUCAUUCAGGGGAUCAGUAAGAAUAGCAAUGUCAGGAGCAUCUGGAGAAACAUCCCUUCUUGUUAUCGGAUGUAGAGCCAGCACCAUAGCUGCAGAAAAGGCCUUGGGAAUGGUCUUCUACACAUGCCUGGCAAACACUGGGACUGAUUGUGAUGAUGAGGGAAGUUAUUUCUGUGCUCACUGGGGAUGUGAAACUUGGGCCCUGAUGUUCCUUAAACAAUAAGAUCCGUACCUUAGUAUCAAAUUGAAAAAAAAAUAAGUCUUGCUCGGUUCCCAGGACCUGCAUCCCACUUACUAUAACCCUAAAGAGGUGGGAUGUUUUUGCAGUAGACCAAAAAUGGGACAUGGGCCACACAUGGGGACUAAAAGCCUAUGUGUCUGGUAUGGACCCUGGAACUUUAUUCACAAUUCAAAGAUUCCCAAGAACCAUACUGCCUAGACCCAUAGGGCCUUUGGCAGAGCUUAAAUCGGAUUUCCCUCCUCCCCGUUCGAGGACCCCUGGCUCAAAUACACUCCCAAUUUCAAGGCCGAUACCUUUGAAGGAGAAAGAUAGAGGGGGAGCCUCUUAUAAAUACUAUAAAGUCCACUUUUCAAUAUUUGAAUAACACAUGCCCUGAGAUGACCAGGGAUUGUUGACUCUGCCUGGAUCCCUGACCACCCUAUUAUAUAGGUUUUGCCCAUACUGCAAGAAGAAAAGAAUUAAAAAUAGUACCCAUGAAUGAUACUGCCUCAUGCUCCUGAGAAACCACUUUCACCCUAGGAGAUAUACAGGACUAAAGGACUUGCUUCAUGUCAAAUGAGUAUCCCUUAGCCACCUCUCCUUACCUUGCAAUUUGUAAUCACCCCUAUACCCUACCUGAGGACACCUGGCCUAAGGGGAUACUCAAUUGCUUGCUACCCCCCAAUCUACUUGGUUUAACCACUUGGCUUAACACCUUGCCUACAUCCCAGUUACUUCAUAGGAAGACAAGAAUUUUUUCUCCUGGUGCAUGUCAUGUCCCAGGUAUAUUACUAUGGGGGAGAUGCAGGUAGACACCAUAUGGGCCUUUCCUGGCCUUGCAGGGCAGCCACUGUCAUUCUAGUCCCCCUCCUCUUGGGGAUGGGGAUAGCUGGGUCUGCUGCCAUUGGAACAGCCUGGGUCACAAGUGACCAGAACUUAAGGAUCUUGAGUGAACAGGUUGAUAAAGAUAUAAGAAGAUUACAUGCCACUACUUCCUAUUUAGAGCAACAGGUAGACCCCUUAGCUGAAGUAGUCCUACAAAAUAGAAGAGGCCUUGACUUACUUUUUCUUAAAGAAGGCAGACUCUGUAUGGCUCUAGGAGAAACACGUUGUUUUCAUGCCAACCAUUCAGGUGUGAUUAAGGAUACCCUGGCUCAGGUUAAACAGAGUCUCUUAGAAUGAGAAGAGCUUAGAAAGGGUUCCCAGAACUUGUUCAAGUCCCUCUUCUCCUGGUCACUAUGGCUUACCACCCUUAUUACUGCUCUGGUAGGUCCCCUCUUAAUUCUUUUGGCUUUGUUGACUUUUGGACCCUGUAUCCUUAAUGCUCUAGUCAAGUUUCUCAAGCAACAAAUUUCCACUGUCCAACUUAUGGUCAUGAGAACUUACUAUAACACAGAACUUACAAAACACAGAUGAAUCAAUGGUUUGAUUCAAGAAGCUUUCCAAAACAAAAGGGGGGAAUGAAGGAGGCUACCCCCCCCAGAUCCCCCUGCCUGUCCUGAGUAUCCCUCAGACCCUCCCAUGCCUGACUCUGGAAAUCCCCUAGACAGGUAACCCCCCCAGACCCCCUGCCUGUCAGGCAGAACAAAAACAUUUCCUGGAACAUUCUGUGGUCAAAGGCAGAAGAGAAAGAAUGUUCUGCCUCAAUGCAGGUAGACAAUGGCUACAAAAGUUAUGGGUUCUGGAAAUCCCCUUUGAUUGUUCAAACCCUUUCCUGGUACUUCUGCUUUCUGUUACUAUAGAAAUCCCCUGCUUUGUGGUUUUUAUGUUUUUUAUGCUUAAAAGCCCUUCAUUUUCACAGCUCGAGGUUGCAGUACAGCUCCUGAGACUGUGUCCGCAGCUGGUUGGCUUCAAUAAAGUGCUUGUGUUUUAACUGAGA